rnacentral:snRNA from 14 species
CUACUUACCCAACAGGGGAUACGCCGAGAUCAGUAAUGUGGCCUUCCUGGGUAAGAAUAUUCUUUCCAUUCCAGGUAUGCUGACUCUUGUGAUUUUCCCGAAUGUGGAGAAGCUGACUGUGUAAUUUGUAGUGAAAGACUGCAUUUGCACCUUUAAA